AGUCAACCUAACCUAUGGGCGGGAAUAACCUCGGGAAACUGAGAAUAAUGCCCGAUAGAACAUUAUGCCUGGAAUGGUUUAUGUUCCAAAUGAUUUAUCGCCGUAGGAUGGGACUGCGGCCUAUCAGUUUGUUGGUGAGGUAAUGGCCCACCAAGACUAUUACAGGUACGGGCUCUGAGAGGAGUAGCCCGGAGAUGGGUACUGAGACACGGACCCAGGCCCUAUGGGGCGCAGCAGGCGAGAAAACUUUGCAAUGUGCGAAAGCACGACAAGGUUAAUCCGAGUGGUUUCUGCUAAAGAAACCUUUUGUCAGUCCUAGAAACACUGAUGAAUAAGGGGUGGGCAAGUUCUGGUGUCAGCCGCCGCGGUAAAACCAGCACCUCAAGUGGUCAGGAUGAUUAUUGGGCCUAAAGCAUCCGUAGCCGGCUCUGUAAGUUUUCGGUUAAAUCUGUACGCUCAACGUACAGGCUGCCGGGAAUACUGCAGAGCUAGGGAGUGGGAGAGGUAGACGGUACUCGGUAGGAAGGGGUAAAAUCCUUUGAUCUAUAGAUGACCACCUGUGGCGAAGGCGGUCUACCAGAACACGUCCGACGGUGAGGGAUGAAAGCUGGGGGAGCAAACCGGAUUAGAUACCCGGGUAGUCCCAGCUGUAAACUAUGCAAACUCAGUGAUGCAUUGGCUUGUGGCCAAUGCAGUGCUGCANGGAAGCCGUUAAGUUUGCCGCCUGGGAAGUACGUACGCAAGUAUGAAACUUA
rnacentral:rRNA from 1 species